rnacentral:misc_RNA from 1 species
AACGCACCUUGCGCUCCUUGGUAUUCCGAGGAGCAUGCCUGUUUGAGUGUCAUUAAAUUCUCAACCUUUCUGGCUUUUAUUAGUUGGUGAGGCUUGGAUAUGGGGGUUGCGGGCUUCUCAGAAGUCGGCUCUCCUUAAAUGCAUUAGCAAAACUUUUGCUGACCAUCUCUGGUGUGAUAAUUAUCUACGCCAUUGAGAAGCAGCUUUAUAUUGGGUUUCGCUUCUAACUGUCCUUUGGACAACUCUUGACAUUUUGACCUCAAAUCAGGUAGGACUACCCGCUGAACUUAA